rnacentral:rRNA from 1 species
UACGAAGGGGGCUAGCGUUGUUCGGAAUUACUGGGCGUAAAGCGCGCGCAGGCGGCUCUUCAAGUCAGGGGUGAAAGCCCAGAGCUCAACUCUGGAACUGCCUUUGAGACUGAAGAGCUUGAGUACGGGAGAGGUGAGUGGAAUUCCCAGUGUAGAGGUGAAAUUCGUAGAUAUUGGGAAGAACACCGGUGGCGAAGGCGGCUCACUGGCCCGUUACUGACGCUCAGGGCGCGACAGCGUGGGGAUCAAACAGG